GCUUUGUACCUACUGCGCAGGCGUCAUCUUGUUGUAACCUAGUCACCUUGGAGCGCUAGGUUCAUCGCCAAAAGCCAUCGCCGAGUCUCUCGACUCCUCUACCUUAAGGGUUUGGGGACCAGACAAGAACCCCGUGGGGCGUUUGGCUCUCUCCUCCUCCUGUUGGCCCCUGUCCCUCAUUCCUUCUGAGUCCGAGUCAAAUGCCGGGGCCAGGAGUCUAGGAAAGCCGUAAGUCUGGCUGCCUACUUAAAGUCUAGUAUUGAGUUCUAGGUUUCCGGAGGUAUUUAAGCAAAAACUGGAAUUUAGCCGGGGUGGAGUAUAAGCGAUUCCUAAACUGGACGGUGUAACAGAUAACUCCUUUUAAAAAACCCCUUCUGGCCCUUAAGUCUGUGAUGUAGAUGUUGGCCGGCGCACAUCAACUUAGAGCAGCCACCCGGCCGGCACUUCCUACUCACAGCUAAAACCGGGAGAGAGUGGGUCAGUUUUCAGUAUCUUUGGCGUGACCGUCACUGAGAAAGAUCUGCAGAAGCUUCGCCCAAGUCACGCAGACCGUCUUGGUACUUCCUGGUUCUCAGUCUCAGGGUUUUCAUCCUCUGGGUCUGAGUUCACGCCCCCUCUGUUGCAGAAACCUUUUCGGUUCCUAAUGAAGGUAGUUCCUGACCAGCCACUCAAAACCAAGAAAACUUUGCCCCCAAAAAACUAGUAGAAAGACUAGUUUGGGCGUGGAAAUCCCAGGAGCAGGUGUCAAUUUGUCACUCCUUGAGAACCUGGAGCCCCAGAAACUUGACGGUGGUAAAGCGCUGGUGGUUAUUUAGAAAGACAAUCUAAGAGACCGCCUGGGGCCUUUGCCUGAGAGCUGGGAGCCUGGUGAAGUGACUGGGAAGCCAUGGAAGCAGCUGGCAAAGAGGAAAUCAGUGUUGAAGAUGAAGCUGUGGAUAAAAACAUUUUCAAAGACUGCAGCAAGAUUGCUUUCUACAGAAUAUAUAGUCCUUUGGAGGCUGACAAUCACCAGUGGUUCUCAGACAUCUGUAUACUCCGUAUCUGUAGACGUCAGAAACAGCAGCUCUCCAAGAAGUCUACCUAUCGGGCAUUACUAGACUCAGUCACAACAGGCAAAGAUAGCACCAGGUUCCAAAUCAUCAAUGAAGUAGCAAAGGUUCCUCUACUGGCUGAAGUUUAUGGUAUAGAGGGAAAUAUUUUCAGGCUUAAAAUCAAUGAGGAAACACCCCUGAAACCCAGGUAUGAAGUUCCUGAUGUCCUCACAAGCAAACCAAGCACUGUAAGGCUGAUUUCAUGCUCAGGAGAUACAGGAAGUCUGGUAUUGGCAGAUGGCAAAGGAGAUCUGAAGUGUCAUAUCACAGCAAACCCUUUCAAGGUAGACUUGGUAUCUGAAGAAGAAGUUGUUAUGAGCAUAAACUCCCUGGGCCAACUGUACUUUGAGCACCUGCAGAUUCCUCCCAAACAAAGAGCUACCAAGGAAAAUGAGGAGGAUGCAUCAGUUGACACCACUCAGGAGAAUCCAGAGGAACUAGGCCUGUGGGAGGAGAAAUUUGGAAAUUUUGUGGAUGUCAAAGUUAAUGGUCCUACGUCCAUUGGUUUGGAUUUCUCCUUGCAUGGAUUUGAACAUCUCUAUGGGAUCCCACAACAUGCAGAAUCACACCAACUUAAAAAUACCAGAGAUGGAGAGGCUUACCGUCUUUAUAAUCUAGAUGUAUAUGGAUAUAAAAUAUAUGACAAACUGGGCAUUUAUGGGUCAGUGCCUUAUCUCCUUGCUCACAAAGUGGGCAGGACUCUAGGCAUUUUUUGGCUAAAUGCCUCUGAAACGCUAGUGGAGAUCAAUACAGAACCUGCUAUAAAGUAUACACUGACCCAGAUGGGUCCAGUUGCUGCUAAACAAAAGGUCGAAUCUCGAACUGAUGUGCACUGGAUGUCGGAGAGUGGAAUCAUUGAUGUUUUUCUGCUGACAGGACCUACACCUUCUGACAUCUUUAAGCAGUACUCAUACCUUACAGGCACACAAGCCAUGCCCCCUCUCUUCUCCUUGGGGUACCAUCAGUGCCGUUGGAACUAUGAAGAUGAGCAGGAUGUAAAAGCAGUGGAUGCAGGAUUUGAUGAACAUGACAUUCCUUAUGAUGUCAUGUGGCUGGACAUAGAGCACACCGAGGGCAAGAGGUACUUUACCUGGGACAAGAAAAGAUUCCCAAACCCCAAAAGGAUGCAAGAGCUGCUCAGGAGCAAAAAACGUAAGCUUGUGGUCAUCAGUGACCCCCACAUCAAGAUUGACCCUGACUACUCAGUGUAUGCUAAGGCAAAAGAACAGGGCUUCUUUGUGAAGAACCAUGAAGGGGGGGACUUUGAAGGUGUAUGCUGGCCUGGUCUCUCCUCUUACCUGGAUUUCACCAACCCCAAGGUCAGAGAAUGGUACUCCAGUCUUUUUGCUUUCCCUGUUUAUCAGGGAUCUACAGAUAUCCUCUACAUAUGGAACGACAUGAAUGAGCCCUCUGUCUUUAGAGGGCCAGAACUAACCAUGCAGAAGAACGCCAUUCACCACGGCAACUGGGAGCACCGGGAACUUCACAACCUCUAUGGCUUUUAUCAGCAAAUGGCCACUGCAGAAGGACUGAUCCAACGAGCUAAAGGGAAGGAGAGACCCUUUGUUCUGACACGUUCUUUCUUUGCUGGAUCACAGAAGUAUGGUGCUGUGUGGACAGGAGACAACACAGCAGAAUGGAGCUACCUUAAAAUUUCUAUCCCUAUGUUACUCACCCUCAGCAUUACUGGGAUCUCUUUUUGUGGAGCGGAUGUAGGCGGCUUCAUUGGGAAUCCAGAAGCAGAACUGCUAGUGCGGUGGUACCAGGCUGGAGCCUAUCAACCCUUUUUCCGUGGCCAUGCCACCAUGAACACCAAGCGACGAGAACCCUGGCUCUUCGGAGAGGAGUACACCCGGCCCAUCCGAGAAGCCAUGAGAGAGCGUUAUGCCCUCCUGCCCUACUGGUAUUCUCUGUUCUACUCUGCACACGUGGCUUCCCAGCCCAUCAUGAGAAUUCAAAGGGCCUGGUCCAGGAAGUGCAUUAUCACUAGCGAUAUCUGCAAAGAAUAUGAGGCCUCUGUGGAUAGAGUUCCCUGACGAAUUGGAGACUUUUGGUGUAGAAGAUGAAUACAUGCUGGGAAGUGCUUUAUUGGUUCAUCCAGUCACAGAACCAAAAGCUACUGUGGUUGAUGUAUUUCUGCCAGGAUCAAAUGAGGUCUGGUAUGACUCCAAGACAUUUGCUCAUUGGGGAGGAGCAUGUACUGUAAAGAUCCCAGUAGCCUUGGACACUAUACCAGUGUUUCAACGAGGUGGAAGUGUGGUACCAAUAAAGACAACUAUAGGAAAAUCCACGGGCUGCAUGAGUGAUUCCCCAUAUGGACUCCACGUGGCCCUAAGCACUAAGGGUUCUGCCGUGGGUGAAUUCUAUCUCGAUGAUGGCCAUUCCUUCCAGUACCUCCAUCAGAAGCAGUUCUUGCACAGGAAGUUUUCGUUCUCCUCAGGUGUUUUGAUCAACAGUUGUGCCGACGAGCGGGGUCGUUAUUCCAGCAAGUGUGUGGUGGAGCAGGUCUUUGUCCUGGGCCUCAGGAAGCGGCCCUCUUCUGUGACUGCCCGCUCCUCCGAUGGUAAAGCUCAGCCUGUGGCUUUUUCAUACUGUGCCAGAACGUCCACCCUGAGCCUUGAGAAGCUCUCACUCAACAUUGGCAGUGACUGGAAGGUCCACAUCCAGUGACCAAGCAGGGCACCUGGUGACAAGUGCUGGGAGCACCUUCCCAGGGCCUUUCAUUGUGAUUUGUGCUGUAUGCUAACUUGUCUAGUCCGAGGUCAUCUUUCAGUACUUAGCAGUUUACUAAUGAACAAUAGGUUUCAGAUUUUUCGGAUGUCAUGUUUUUAGACGUGCUAGGAAUACUCUUUGUGUCACACACCACCUCUUCUCCUACAUGCAAGUGGCCCAGAGACAUUCACAUAGUUCAUGCAUCUUCCACACCCCUGGAGUCAUGAUCUGUGGCAGGCACUGUGGCCCAUGCGUGGCUUCUCUCUGAGCACAGCUGGGUAUUGGGCUUGCUUUAUGUGAGAGGCGGGCCAAGCCCACCCUGUGGCCCACUUUCGGUAGGGCCACUCGUGCUGUAGCAGCUGAGAUCAAUCUCCGAGCAGACAGCAGCCCCUGGUGUCCCACCGUUAUCUUUUAGCACAUAGACGUGAGCAAAACAACCCUUUUCUUUUUUUUCUUUUUUUUUUGGUUUGUUGCUCUUUGGGGCCAUACCAGCGGCAUAUGGAGGUUCCCAAGCUAGGGGUUAAAUCAGAGCUGUAGCCGCUGGUCUAUACCACAGCCACAGCAACUCGGGAUCCCAGCCGCAUCUGCAACCUACACCACAGCUCUUGGCAACACCAGAUCCUUAACCCACUGAGCGAGGCCAGGGAUCAAACCCGCAACCUCAUGUUUCCUAGUUGGAUUUGUUUCAGCUGAGCCACAAAAGGAACUCCAAAACAACCCUUUUCUGCUUGCACUGCAUACACUGCAGCAAUGGGGAGUUACUCUACCCUAGAGAUUGACCUGGGAGCACAAAUGAUUCUUUGCCCUGUUGUGUUUGGGGGCCUCCAAGAUUCCAAAUUAAUCUCCUUAAAAUUCUAAUUUCUUUAUAUUGAUUGUUUUUAUUAAAUACCAUCUACUAGCCAAAGAAUAUUUGUAGCAUGAGUAAGGUAUAAUUAAUAAUAAUAAACUAAAUACUCAUGUCCCCACCAUCAAACCUUAGAAAUAGAACACAGGGCUGGGACUAGGAUGAGGCAGGUAAGGUACCAGCCUUGGGCACAACACUAAAGGGCAUGCUAAAAAUCACAGUAAUCAAAAUAAAUGAUAUUUUAAUGCAAUAUCUUUAAAAAUCAGAAGUAAUUCAAAAAAAUCAUGAUGAACAAAAUAUCAAAAUACUGGAUUUAACUCUGUUUUGUUUGUUUUUGGCCGCACUGGUGACAUGUAGAAAUUCUCAGACCAGUGAUCAAACUUGUGCUAUAGCAGCAACCUGAGCCACAGGAGUGACAAUGCUGGACCCUUAACCUGCUGAGUCACCAGGGAACUCCUGCUGGGUUUUACUCUUGCCUCAGACUCCAGGACACCUUGGCCUGAGCAAGAGCAUUACACUACCCAGCUCCUCAGGGUACUCCCUGCUCUGAGACCCUGAGAAUUCCUGCUGCCACAGAGUGUGCUGGAGCAGCUUCCAGCCCUCAGCACUCCUCCACUUGUACUUUUUCUUCUCAGGCUUCCAUCCCUUAGCACCUUGCCAACUGCCACCUCUGUGCCUUCUGUUCCCUGGGCCCCAGUAUCCACUGCCUUCCCUCUACCUUUACACCUCCUACCAUCCAUCCAGGCCCAGCUCAAACCCCACUUAUUCAUAGAGCCUUUCUAACUACCCUGACACCCUAGACUCCCCUUUACAUGAGCCGUGAUUUUGCCCUUCUCUGAAAUGCUGCCCCACUUUUCAUAUGCACUCUGCUUAGCAUUCUCAGGGAUGGCCCCUUGGUGUUUCAGGUUUGUCUGUCUUAUGCCCCUACUAGAUUGUAUGUUCUUCAAGAUCAUGUUAUAUUUGUCUUAUAUCUGCCAGAGCACCAUUAUACUUGGCUUUUAGUGAUGAUCGGCUUAAUGGGCUGACUGAUGGAUUUGAUUGAUUAAAAAAUUUGAGAAUUGA